AUUCGGGUUGAUAACUAGGCAGCGCUCUCGAUUUCAAACCCACUCUACGACGUCUGCCCUUUAAAUACCCGAGAUAUCAAACACCCAAUUCGUUGGCGGAGAUCUUACACGUUUUCCGGACUUUUUAUUUCUAUGUGCUUGUUAACGUUUAAAUUUCCGAUACAAUU
rfam:Penicillium marneffei ATCC 18224 scf_1105668340758 genomic scaffold, whole genome shotgun sequence.